GCAUACAUGUACAUACACAUUCACACACAUACAUACACAUACAUAUACACACGUGUGCAUCAAUAUAAUAUUAUGACCAAUCAGAUUCAAGGAUUUAGGAUGCUGUUGCAUAAUAAUAAUUAUAGACUGUUAAUAAAGUAGGAGGCGGUGUGAUGGGACGUCCCUGACCUAUUGGAAAUCUGUGUGUGUGUGUGUGUGUGUGUGUGUUUCAUUAACACACAGCCGUGAGACAGAGCAGACUAACAGGCAAUAUUAUGACACCUAAAUAAACGACUCAAUCAGCAUGACAAUCACACAACAUUAUUCACAACACAGCUGCUUCAGGGUAGAUAAAACACACACACACACACACACACACACACACACACGACAUAAUGAGUACAUUAGUCAGCAUACACACUUGUAGGCGAGUAAAUGUAUAUACAAUUUUGUGGUUACUUCUGGCUUCCUCCUGUUUCGUGUGUGUGUGUGUGUGUGUGUGUGUGUGUGUGUGUGAGUACUUGCAGGAACUGCCAGGAGGUGGGUAGAAGCCACCAUCCCUUUCCUGACUCUUCCAUAGAGUUCCAAUCGCACUAAUCCAUACGUUCGAGUUCCUGCAGGAAUAAGCAAACACGCUCACUAGGAAUGUCUGAUGGAAGCGUCAAUGCGAUCGGCAGGAAACAUGUUUACACACGUCUGGUCUGGCUAUAAAGAAAAACGUAUGUCAGACGUCCUUGAAAAACCUGUCAGACGUCCCUGGGGCUGAGUUCCUUUAUAGACAGACAAAUGUAAUGAAAUAUCUGGUGUUAAAAUUGGGGUUUUCUCCUAUGUACAUGUUCUUCUGCUUUGUGGAGACAAGGGCAUUAUUUCCCAGGAGGAUCCGACAUGUUGACGUCUGUGUCUCGCUCCCAGAGUCAAACCCGUGACGUAGAAAAGAUGUAACUGAGGAGCUGCUAAAUAUUCCCAUUAUGCGUCUUGAUAUCACAGCAAAAAGAGCUUCAGAAGCUCCAAUAAGCUGAGGAGACCUGCACUAUAUUACCAAAAGUAUUCAGACACCCGAUCUUUUCUAGCCAUAUGAGCUUCGUCUUGAAACACUUGGAGGCGCAUAAUUAUAUAGGAAGUAUUUAGCAUGAGAUGCUCCCUUCACAAACCUGUUUCAGACCUAUGAAGAUCUACUUUGGAUGUGUGCAACACCUUUAGGAUGGAUGUGAACACCAUGUCAGACCUCCUCAGUUCCUUACUGAGUCUCUAAAUAAAAUCUAGUAGAACAUCUUCCCAGAAAAGUGGAGCUCCACAAGACAAUGAGUUCUGUAUUUAGAGAGCAGACAGACGUCUGGAGUGAUAUCUAUCUGCUCUGGGAUGAACAAGAAAUCUCCAUCUGGUGAAGAACAUCUUUGGAGGCAUUAUUUCAGGUGAACGUUGAACGAAGUGUCCGGAUGCCGAGAGCGUGUAAAGCCGUUCUUCAUGCUUAAGGAGGAUUUUUUAAUGGAGAUUAAGUCUGUAGGACAUUUUAUAGAUUUGUUUGGUAGAUCUUCAUGGCGUUACGUUACAACGUUUGUCGCAUAGAAACAAAAGGAACAUACACGUGUUUCUCGAACACAAACACCAAGUCGGAGGAGUUAGUCGGACUGGGGGAUCAAUUUUAAGUUACAGAUUUUCUCUUUGAUGUUUUCUGAGCUGUGUGUGUGUAUAAUCCGAGUAAGAAUGGUAGCGUACUUUGUGUUUUAUCCGAGAGCAGCUCUAAAAUCUGCGCUUUGUGUGUUUAAGUACUUUUCUUGGCGACGACUUGGAGGCUGAGGGAAUCUCCCUUUCCGUUUUUUUUUUUUUACCUUUCCAGAGGCCACAUGGUCGAGGUAAAGAUUUCUAAACCAUCCUCUAAUCUGUGUAAUCAGCCUCGAAGUAAGGGUGUGUGUGUGUGUUGGGGGAAACCCAUAUUAGAUAAAUAAAAAAAAAAAGAUAAAAAAGACCCUGAUGCGAUGUUAGAAGUCCACCACUCGUCGUCCACCACUCGAUUCCUGCCGAUCAGCGCCCGAGUCCUGAUAACACAGGCGGCUCAUCGAGCACUCCGUUUUUGUAAUCUAACACCUACUCUCGCAACCGCUUGAGAACGGAACACACACACACACACACACACACACACACACACACACACACACACACACACCUCUACAUACAAAUAAGAAGUGUGUAUCUUUGCAGGUCACAUGCCUUGGUAUCUGUUGCCACAUGGUUUACCUCGGUGAGUGGCGUAAAAAUUUACCACAGCCUUAUCUCUGUUCACACACACACACACACACACACACACACACACACACACACACACACAACGGUCCCUACAUGUCAAGGUCAUACAUUUCAUCUUUGAUCUUUCCCUAAUCCUUUGUUACAGCGUAAUGAGUGUGUGUAAAAAGGGAGUCAGGGAAGAAUCGAGGGAAAAGGAGGCACCGGGUGCAAACUUUUCUUUUUUUUUUUUUUUUUGUUCUUUCAGGAUGCUUUGGAAUUGGACAUUUGAGGUCAAAGGUCUUUAGGCAGCAACCGCUGGUGACAUUCCCAUUCGUUCCAGUCAAAUGUUUGUUGACACCCGACAACCUUCCCGUUCAGCGCUCCAUUUUCUCUCAUAAUUACCUCCACUCUUUUGGGAAGAUGUUCCACUAAAUUUUAUGGAGAUUUGUAAGAUUUCAUUUAGACGCUUAGUAAAGUCAUGUACUGAUGUAGGUGAGUUAGUGAGAAGUCCUGGCGUGGUGUUUACAUUCUUUCUAAAUUAGAUGCUUCCUUAAUGAAAAGCAGAUCUUCACCGAGCUGAGCUGGCUUCAUGCACAGGGGCGUUGUCUUGCUGGAACAGGUUUGGGUCUUCUAGUUCAAUUGGAGGUAACAUUUCACGCCACAGCAUCCAAAGACAUGUUUAUUGUGUGCCUCUGAAUCUGUGUGAACCUUUUUGUGGAGGAACUACAUCUGGCUGGAAAAACCGUGCAUCCCAAAUUGAAUUUUUAUUUGUAGUGCGCUUUUAACAGUGGACAUCGUCUCAAAACAGCUUCAUAGAAAUAAUAAUAAAGAUAAUUCCACAAAAAUAUAAAAUAUACAAAAAUAAAGCUCAUAAAAAUGUCUACAGAAAAACAAGAUUUGAUUUGAUAUGUUCGUCAUCCAAACCCUGGGAGUUCCACAGUAGAACAUCUGAUCUUUAGUUGGAAUUGUGUGAUUCUCAAGUAUAUGUGACAGGAUUUACUGACUGUAUGUUCAUUCACCAUUCUAUCCACACCCUCAUUACAAUUUUCUCAUAUCAAGGACACUGGGGCUGUUUUCAUUUUCUUGUCACGAGACCCCAGCAGUGGAGACCUAGUUCCAAACUGGGACACAUGCGACAGUGUGUAAUCUCUAUGGGAAAGUGUAGCAUAUGUCAGCAUUGGUCAGAGGUGGCUAAAUUUAGGCCUGGCUGGUAAGUAGGUCUCAAAGUCUAUCUCUCGCUCUUGCUCGCUCUCUCUCUCUCUCUCUCUCUCUCUCCUGUGGAUCAACAAGGAUUGAGGGGUUUCAUGGUAAUCAUUAAGAGAAUGUGCAGCUGGGAAAGUUCUCUUGUUGGCUUGGGUGAAAAGGCCAAGGGCAUGAGAGGAGCCCAGUGAACUGGUUCAGGAGUGCUCCAGACAGUAGCUUCAGGUGCAUCAGGUUUGUUCCAGUAAUCACGAUUCUUCACUCUUUUCCUUUAUAUUUCAGAGAGAGAGAGAAUCUAUGAGAAGUUGAAGGUUGUGAAUGAACAUUCAGGGUUGACCAUUCAUCCAUUCUCUGCUGCUCUGUGUUGGAGUGUUCGUAGAGGUCCAUGGCGAAAGUCACCUUGUGUUGACCAAAAUAACAUGGAGAGGAGAAACACACACACACACACACACACACACACACACACACCAGACGGCGUGACCUCUAUAUAUUCUGUGCAGUAUAGAUUGUAGAGACGUGACGUAGCUUAGCGCUCAGUUCUCCUCCUCAGUGAUUAAUCACACGCUCAGUAACGAGGGAAAAGUGUUAAUGAGAGCAGCGUCGCCGCCGCCGCUUAAAUUAUACCCUCCACAGGAGAUGUGACGUGGGUGUCAGAGCUCUCCCUGUUAAACCAGGUCAUCAGAAUGUACUUUCCAUUUCUGACUGCAGAAAGCAGGCUGUUGCUCGGGUAUGAGAAAGAGAAAGAGAGAGAGAGAGGAAUAAAUCAUUUAGAGCUGUAUGAAUGGUGUAUAUCAGGUGUGUGUUUUUGAAAAGGUGUCAACCAAGAACUGGAAAGGUCUUCCUGUCAAACAUCUCUACUGAAUAGUAAAGUCCCGAGGCGGAGCUGGGUAUUACGGAGAUUGACACACUAUAGGCUGGAGUCUGGGGUCAAUGGGGAUGUGCAGAUAAGAGCUGAUUGGAGGGAACAGCUUGGGGGGCGGAGCCCGGCAGCUCGCACACAAAGGACGCUGUCCGAUCGCUAUAAUACGUGGAAGCUCAAAGUCAGUGGCAGAAAAUGGACUUGAAGCUCACAAAAGCAUUGAAAAUGCAAUGCCUGCUUUAGUGCACUCAGGGUGGAGCACGCUUUCAUGCCAUGUGGCCCAGAGUCACCAACUCUCUACUCCGACAUUACACACCCCAGUCACGACAGCCUGGGCACAAAGGACAGAAAAGGACAGAACACACACACACACACACGCACGCUCACUCGCGCGCGUAUACACACACACACACACACACACACACACGCAGAAUAAAAUGCGCUCUCGCUCCAAGUGCGCCACGCUGCAGCUGCUCCAGUUUCCAUGGCGACCCUCCGAACAAUGAGGUUUCUGGUCUCAAACCCCAAGUCAAGGUGCUCACGUGACUUUCCUAUAUUUAUUACUGACACUUACAGGAACAGAUGCAGAUUCCGUAACGUAGGUGGCGUCGAUGAACGCACAUG